rnacentral:pre_miRNA from 1 species
CACUGAUCGCCUGAUCCUUGCUUUACCUAUGUUUUUUUUAUAAUCAAGAUGAGCAAAGUUUCAGGUGUGUUUGUGG